CGGGGUGCACCAGGCGCGAAAACUCCACAAUGCAGGCAACUGCGAUAGGGGGACAUCGAGUGGCAUCCACCUUGGGUGCCUGUCCAACCGUCUAAAAAACGGUUGUUAGCAAGGGCCGGGUAAGACCGGUGCCAGCCGCCGCGGUAAUACCGGCGGCUCGAGUGGUGGCCGAUAUUAUUGAGUCUAAAGGGUCCGUAGCCGGCUUUGCAAGUCCCCUGGGAAAUCCAGCGGCUUAACCGUUGGGCUUUCAUGGGAUACUACAUUGCUUGGGACUGGGAGAGGUAGGAGGUACUCGAGGGGUAGGGGUGAAAUCCUGUAAUCCUUCGGGGACCACCGGUGGCGAAGGCGUCCUACCAGAACAGGUCCGACGGUGAGGGACGAAAGCUAGGGGCACGAACCGGAUUGGAUACCCGGGUAGUCCUAGCCGUAAACGAUGCCCGCUAGGUGUCACGACGGUCGUGAAUCGUCGUGGUGCCGUAGGGAAGCCGCGAAGCGGGCCACUUGGGAAGUACGACCGCAAGGUUGAAACUUAAAGGAAUUGGCGGGGGAGCACAAGGGCGAAUUCGCG
rnacentral:rRNA from 1 species